CCUACGGGUGGCAGCAUUGAGGAAUAUUGGUCAAUGGGCGAGAGCCUGAACCAGCCAAGUCGCGUGAGGGAGUACUACCCUAUGGGUUGUAAACCUCUUUUGUCGGGGAGCAAAAGCCGGACGGGUCCGGCUGUGAGAGUACCCGAAGAAAAAGCAUCGGCUAACUCCGUGCCAGCAGCCGCGGUAAUACGGAGGAUGGGAGCGUUAUCCGGAUUGAUUGGGUUUAAAGGGGGCGCAGGCGGAUUUUUAAGUCAGCGGUCAAAUCGGUGGGCUCAAACCAAUCCAGCCGUUGAAACUGGGGUGAUAGAGUGUGCGAGAGGUAUGCGGAAUGCGUGGUGUAGCGGUGAAAUGCAUAGAUAUCACGCAGAACCCCGAUUGCGAAGGCAGCAUACCGGUGCACAACUGACGCUCAGGCACGAAAGCGUGGGUAUCGAACAGGAUUAGAUACCCGAGUAGUC
rnacentral:rRNA from 1 species